rnacentral:lncRNA from 1 species
GCGUUCAGCUCAGCAGCACCUUCUGCACCAGACUGUCCUGGUGCACAGAAGCUGGCUUCAGGAGGACGAGGGAGCUGCUGGGAAUAGACACCAAGAAGGCCUAACCUCAUAAUAGGGGUAUGGGAUCAGGCUCAGCACCGAGGAGGACUGAUAUUGGAUGCACGUUCCUUCCCUUUGACAGUUUUGUAAAAUAUAUUGGGGAGUCAGAGAGACUGUCAGAUCAAUUUGCUAUUCCGGAGGAGAGAGCCUUGCAGGCUGUGCCAAGGAGGGAGGACCACUUCGUAUCCUGGCUUAUGCAUGCUGAAUUUUAUAGCAAAAAUUUCGCAGGAAGCUUCAAAACCUUCAAAAGGUCCAGAAAAAUAUAUUCUCCUUUCCAAAAUUUAUUUCCUUCUAAAUGUGUCAGGAGAAAAAAAAAAAAAAAAGACACCAUUUAAAAUGAGGAAUGUGUUAUCUGGAAACAAGCAUCACUUUGAUAGAAAUCACUUUGAUAGAACUUGCGAUAUCUCUACUUCUCUACUUAGAUAUUACUUGUUUCAAGAAAAGGUAAAACUGUUUCGCAGUUUUCUAUAUGAAGAACCAUUGGUUGUGAAAUGUCUUCCUAUGUGAACUUCCUGUUAUAAAUUUCUACGUGAUCAAACAUGCUAGAUCUAAAUAAAUAAAUGCAGCUCAUUACUGAUUCA